GUAGCAUAGUUGGUUAGAGCUUCUGCUUUUGAACCUGAAGGCUGUAGGUUCAAAUCCUACC
rnacentral:tRNA from 1 species